rnacentral:tRNA from 1 species
GCGCCCGUGGCUUAAUCGGAUAGAGUAUUUGGCUACGAACCAAAAGGUUGGGGGUUCGAGUCCCUCCGGGCGUGCCA